AAACCAUUUUUCCUCCUUAGUAUGGGCGACAGAAAAGGAGCUUGAGGAGCAAUAGAGAAAGUACCGCAAGGGAACGCUGAAAGAGAAAUGAAAUAAACCAGUAAAGCCCAGAGAAGCAGAGAUCUCCCCUCGUACCUUUUGCAUCAUGAUUUAGCCAGUAACCCUUAAGCGAAGAGAACUUUAGUUUAAUACCCCGAAUCUACGGUGAGCUACUCCGAGACAGCCUAUAAUAGGGCGAACCCGUCUCUGUGGCAAAAGAGUGGGAAGAGCUCCGAGUAGUGGUGAUAAACCUAUCGAACCUAGUUAUAGCUGGUUGCCUGAGAAAUGGAUAGAAGUUCAGCCUCAUGGCUUCUACCCUCAAAUUUUAUUAUUACGCUAAGACAGUUAAAGAAACCAUGAGAGUUAGUCAAAGGAGGCACAGCUCCUUUGACCAAAGAUACAACUUUUAUAGGAGGGUACAGAUCAUAUUUCAAUUAAGGCUCGGUGUCCUGGUGGGCCUAAAAGCAGCCAUCCAUACGAAAAGCGUUAAAGCUCAAGCACGAAAGCCCCCUAUUAUAAGGAUAAUAACAUCUCAACCCCCUAAAACCUAUCAGGCCGUUCCAUACCCCUAUGGAAGUGAUUAUGCUAGAAUGAGUAAUAAGAGAGCCAGACUCUCUCCCUGCACAAGUGUACCUCGGCCCGGACUACCCGCCGAACCUUAACGGCCCCUACAACAGAGGGAAGUGAGCCAUCAAACAGAUAACAAGAAAAGCACUCACAAGUUGUCCCGCACCGUUAACCCCACACUGGAGUGCCCCCCGGGAAAGACUAAAAGAAGAAGAAGGAACUCGGCAAACACCUAGAGCCUCGCCUGUUUACCAAAAACAUCGCCUCUUGCAAAAUUAACAAAUAAGAGGUCCCGCCUGCCCUGUGACCAGUGUGUUUAACGGCCGCGGUAUCCUGACCGUGCGAAGGUAGCGCAAUCACUUGCUCUUUAAAUAGGGGCCCGUAUGAAUGGCGUAACGAGGGCUCAACUGUCUCCUUUUUCAGGUCAGUGAAAUUGAUUUCCCCGUGCAGAAGCGGGGAUACUACCAUAAGACGAGAAGACCCUAUGGAGCUUUAGACACCAAAGCGGACCGCGUUAAUCACCCCUUGUCAAAGGAUUAAACUGCCUGGCCACCGCCCUAAUGUCUUCGGUUGGGGCGACCGUGGGGGAAAACCGAGCCCCCAUGCGGAACGAGAGUACUACUCUCCGAACCAAGAGUUUCAACUCUAAUAAUCAGAACUUCUGACCUAAGUGAUCCGGCAUAAUGCCGAUCAACGGACCAAGUUACCCUAGGGAUAACAGCGCAAUCCUCUUUUAGAGCCCAUAUCGACAAGGGGGUUUACGACCUCGAUGUUGGAUCAGGACAUCCUAAUGGUGCAGCCGCUAUUAAGGGUUCGUUUGUUCAACGAUUAAUAGUCCUACGUGAUCUGAGUUCAGACCGGAGUAAUCCAGGUCGGUUUCUAUCUAUGUUAUGACCUUUUCUAGUACGAAAGGACCGAAAAGAGGAGGCCCCUGCUCCCAGCACGCCUCACCCCUAACUAAUGAAUUAAACUAAAGUAGAGAAGGGGGC
rnacentral:rRNA from 1 species